rnacentral:ncRNA from 1 species
CUGGGAGGACGACCUCUCCGUAAAGGAAUCACGUUGGGACGACCCAA